AUGUACCCACGUACAUUCCGGUUCCUCCGCGCCGUCCGCACCCACCUGACGACUGCUCGCUACGUUUUGUUAGCA
rnacentral:sRNA from 1 species